AUCCAAUAAGAAGGACAAAACUGAUUGGACUACCUAUAUUCUCAUUUAAAUGGAACUAAAAAAUGUUGUUUUAAAAUAUUUGUGAAAUCAAGAAAAAAAAGUGAUAUACGACAUCUUACGGUUAAUAGAGUUCAAUAUCUAGUUUUUAUGAACCUUUACGUGCGUGUCGAGGGGUUGAAAAUUUUCAUUUCCCAAUGGAAUUGAAACAAAAUUAGAAGUAUGUGCCUAAGUGCAAGAAAGGAUAAUGAGAAGCAGGAAGGAUUGAAAACUCUUUUUGAUAUGGACCAGGACCAUUCGCCUAUGGACAUCAUCAUCACCUUAACAGUAUAAAGGUAAAGGACAUGUUAAUUUUGGUGGGAAUCUUCAAUCUACAUUUAGUUAAGGUGCCAUCAGUUUCCUGUUUUACAUCUCUGUGCAUAUAAUUAAGCAAUGUUGCAG